AGUACGAUCUUUGCUUCAAACAAUGAAUAGAAGAAAGUAUAAACAAGUCUUAAAAUCCUCAGAGACUAUAUGUCAGACUUCAUCUCUUGCGUCAAAAUAAGAGAGAAGAAGAUAUAGUCCGAGCUGCAUGGCGACAUGCAG
rnacentral:autocatalytically_spliced_intron from 1 species